GAUGAACGCUGGCGGCGUGCUUAACACAUGCAAGUCGAACGGAAAGGCCCAAGCUUGCUUGGGUACUCGAGUGGCGAACGGGUGAGUAACACGUGGGUGAUCGGCCCUGCACUUCGGGAUGAGCCUGGGAAACUGGGUCUAAUACCGGAUAGGACCACUUCUUGGAUGUUGUGGUGGAAAGUUUUUUCGGUGUGGGAUGAGCUCGCUGCCUAUCAGCUUGUUGGUGGGGUAAUGGCCUACCAAGGCGUCGACGGGUAGCCGGCCUGAGAGGGUGUACGGCCACAUUGGGACUGAGAUACGGCCCAGACUCCUACGGGAGGCAGCAGUGGGGAAUAUUGCACAAUGGGCGCAAGCCUGAUGCAGCGACGCCGCGUGGGGGAUGACGGCCUUCGGGUUGUAAACUCCUUUCGCUAGGGACGAAGCGUUUUGUGACGGUACCUGGAGAAGAAGCACCGGCUAACUACGUG
rnacentral:rRNA from 1 species